GGGCGCCGGGCUGGACCGGUCCGCAGCAAAGCGGGCGGUGUGGACAUAACCGCACUGCUUCUCCUUUAAGUCCCGGGCGCCACCCUGCCGCCCCGCCUUCGGCCUGGGUCUAGCUAGCGGCGGGGCCAGGGCUGCGCGAGCCGCGAUGGAGCUGCACAUCCUAGAGCACCGGGUGCGGGUGCUGAGUCUCGCCCGCCAGGGUCUCUGGCUCUACACCCACCCGCUCAUCAAGCUACUCUUCCUGCCCCACCGCAGCCGGUGCAAGUUCUUCAGCCUGACCGAGACCCCCGAGGAUUACACGCUCAUGGUGGACGAGGAGGGGUUUAAAGAGCUGCCCCCAUCCGAGUUCCUGCAGGUGGCUGAUGCCACAUGGCUGGUGAUGAACGUGUCCUCUCACAGUGGCGCGGCAGUGCAGGCUGCUGGAGUCAGCAAGAUCGCUCGCUCUGUCAUCACCCCACUGGCUGAGCACCACGUGUCCGUGCUGAUGCUGUCCACUUACCAGACAGACUUCAUCCUGGUGCGGGAGCAGGACCUAUCUGUGGUGAUCCAUACACUGGCCCAGGAGUUCGACAUUUACCGCGAGGUGGGCGGGGAGCCUGUGCCUGUUGAUAUUGAUGAUUCCAGCAAUGGCUUUCCCCGCACCCAGCCUGCAGGGCCAAGUCCCACGGUGCAUCCCAUUCAGAGUCCACAGAACCGCUUCUGUGUCCUCACACUGGACCCUGAGACGCUGCCAGCCAUUGCCACCACCCUCAUCGAUGUCCUCUUCUACUCACACAGCGCCACCAAGGAGGCAGCCUCAAGCAGUCCUGAAUCCAGCUCCAUCCCAUUCUUUGCCUUCUCCCUUAUUGAGGGAUACAUCUCCAUUGUCAUGGACUCCGAGACGCAGAAAAAGUUCCCCAGUAACCUCCUGCUGACCAGUUCCUCCGGGGAGCUGUGGAGGAUGGUGCGCAUCGGUGGACAGCCCCUGGGCUUUGAUGAAUGUGGGAUUGUUGCCCAGAUUGCUGGUCCCCUGGCUGCUGCUGACAUCUCUGCCUACUACAUCAGCACCUUCAACUUUGAUCAUGCUCUGGUGCCUGAGGAUGACAUCAGCAGUGUCAUCGAAGUCCUCCAGCGACGGCAGGAGGGCUUGGCCUCCUAAGGCCUGGAGGGAGCAGAGCUGGCACCUGGCUGUCUGUCUCCCCUGGACUUCCACAGACUUCUUUAAGCUACUGCCUCAGUCUCUGGGAUGAGCCCCCCAUUCCUGCCCGGGGACCCCUCAUUCUGCUCUCUAUGCUCAUUCUAUGGAGAGGAUGACUUGUUUCCAGCAGAUCAUACCCACCACCUAUUGCUCGGCCACCAGUAGGUCCUUGGAGACAGCACACGUUUAGGACUUUCUCUCUCCUUGGAAUCGAAGGAUUUCUCAUUUUGGUAGCAAGCUAAAUGGCCAGGGAUUGCUCAUGGUCUCCCCAAGAACAAGAAGGGGAAGAAAGCAACUCUUUCCCCAGCACAUGCUCCACAUCGUUUCCUUGGGGCAGUGAUUGGCAGUCCUGGGAGUGAGUCCCGCCUCUGUCCUAACCCUGUGGGGAUCCGGUCUGUUCCCACCACCCUUCUCUAGCUGCCUCUCUGUGGAGCAGAGCUCAGACCUCAGCUGCACUGUUGUGCCCAGGUGGCUGGCAUCAAGAGAAGGUUCCUGCUCAGCCCGCCUCCUCCCUCCUCCCCCCCCCCAACCUCCUCAGGCUUGUGCAGGAGGAAGGGCCCCUAGCUUCGAGUGCCAGAAAACCAACUCAGCCAGCAAAGAGGAGGCUAACUCUUGCCCUGUGCAGGCACACACUGCGGAUUGACCCUAGCUUCAACAGGGACAGGGGUCAGGGAGAUGGCUUGGCCUCCCUGGCUGUGUUGGCUGCCUCCUGACCCUCUCUCCAGAACCUCACUCUGGCGCUGUGGGGCCAGGGAAGGUUGGUUUCCUGUGAGGGUCGCUUUGUGGUAUCAGGAAUCUGAACCCUAGCCAUGUGGCAGAGGUGUGCUUCCUGUGUGUGAUGUCAGUCCCAGGGAAGGGUUCUGAUUGGUCCUGCUCAGGAUGAAUAGGUGCAUUGCAGACCCCGGAGUACUGCUAAAGCCAGGGUGGGUUGGGUGCCACCUCCUGAGGCACUGGGGCCAUGGGCAUCUCACUGGGGUGAAAAACAGGCAUCUGCCAAGUGGGUCUUCCAGUCCCUUGCACGCAGAGUGUUGGUUCAUGUAUGGGUGUGUGUGUGUGCACGCUUGCUCACCCUUCCAGUACUGGCUGGGAUAAAGUAAUCAUGUAAACUCACUCGACCAUAAGCCUUCUCUUGCUGAUUCACCCCUGGCUCCUGCCCAAUUUAUAGGUUAAAUGAGGGACUGAAAAGCCACUGUGAUCUGUCUUUUGUUUUUACAAAAUAGAGGGUCGUCCCCUUCAGUAGAAGACCAGGCUCCUCCUGUGACCAGUCUGUGCCUUGCAUGUGGAAUUUGUUCCGAAAUGAAUUUUUUAAAGGAAACAG